CGUAUUUCCGUUUGCCCCAAUACGUAUUCGUUCCUCCUCUUUCGCCUUCCCUGCCGACAGUCGACCGUCUGGAGCGGAGGCAUCGAGUGGAUCUGCUACCGCCCCGUACCGUCGUCGCGGCCUCCAGCAGGAGGUCCGCCGGCCCGUCCCAGAUUGCGGCUUCUCCCGUCGCAAGACCGGCUCCCCAUCUUGAUUCGUCCUCGCGCCAAAGGCCAGGUCUUGGAGUUGCUAGCAGCCAUGGUGGAGCUCGGGUCGGGAUAGUGGAGGUGGUAGUGGUGGCUGUUGUGCCGCCACUGAAGACCACGGCGGCGGUGGCAGGGCAGAGGCCGCGGCGAGCGACGAGGGCGGCCGCCAUCCAGCGGGUCUUCGGGGCCCCGACACCAUUCACGCAGCUGCCGACCUCGCCUGCUGCGCGCCAUGGAUGAGGCCACAGUUCAACUAAGUGAACAAACUACUCCUUAGAGCGAUGCAUGCAAAGUCAUAUGGUUGGAUUGAUCCUCAUCCAGGUGACAAUGGCGCUCCAUUACCAUAGUCAUCGACUACUGGUCUGUUUGUCAGCAGAGGAAAUGGUGCAACUAGUUCAACAAGAAGGACAAGAACAAUGAAAAGAGGAGAUAAAGAAGAAUACGAGUCGGAUUUCUUACUUUUGGUCCUGAAGAUCCAUUGCCGUGUUCAUGGUUCUCAUGACCACUGCUUGAAGAAGCCAUAGAGGACAAUGGUUUCCUUACUUUAAACCUCGGAUCGCUUGAUAUUUGCAGACUUUGCUAUCUGCCUGAAUUUGGUUUGUGGAUGCAAUCAGGCUCCAGAUUGAAAUGUCUUUCGCCUGGUAUUUAGGAUCUUGUGUUUGUAAAGGUUUGCCUAGUGCCUCUGUUUUCUAUAUUGGCGCCAAUAGUUAGUUUGGCGGACAUUUUCCCUCCAGAAACAGUUGUGGAUAUUA